GCUGAGGUCUAUCCCGACGGGUCUUUAACUGUAGGGCCAUGUCGUUGGAAAUGCCUCAAAGAGUAAUGCUGCAGUUUCGCUUUACCCACAUGUUCACUGCCAUGAGCUUUGUGAGAUAUCACUGCAGAACAUGU